rnacentral:lncRNA from 1 species
AACUACUUCUGUGGUGGAGCUUUACAUGUAGAUUGUAGAUUCCAAAGGCCUAUCUCAUUUCUCAGCCAUCACAACUUUUUGAAACCUGUCUGCAUGAUGGGCAGAGCCUUCCACGGGCCGUGUUUCUUCUCUUAAAGUGAGUUUUCACUUCUUUUUAAGUGUUACCUGUUUGGCUUAAAUAACCCCUUGAACCUUGCUGUUUUCC